UCCCUGGUGGCUGGGUGGUAAAGAAUCUGUCUGCAAUGCAGGAGACUUGGGUUCGAUCCCUGGCUUGGGAA
rnacentral:tRNA from 1 species